rnacentral:rRNA from 1 species
UACGUAGGGUGCAAGCGUUGUCCGGAAUUAUUGGGCGUAAAGAGCGCGUAGGCGGUUUGUCGCGUCGGCUGUGAAAUCCCGAGGCUCAACCUCGGGCCUGCAGUCGAUACGGGCAAACUAGAGUGUGGUAGGGGAGACUGGAAUUCCUGGUGUAGCGGUGAAAUGCGCAGAUAUCAGGAGGAACACCGGCGGCGAAGGCGGGUCUCUGGGCCAUAACUGACGCUGAGGAGCGAAAGCGUGGAGAGCGAACAGG